UCAGCAUGCCGCGGUGAAUACGUUCCCGGGCCUUGUACACACCGCCCGUCACACCACGAGAGUUUGCAACACCCGAAGUCGGUGAGGUAACCUUUAUGGAACCAGCCGCCGAAGGUGGGGCAGAUGAUUGGGGUGAAGUCGUAACAAGGUAUCCCUACCGGAAGGUGGGGAUGGAUCACCUCCUUUCU
rnacentral:rRNA from 1 species